UACGGAGGGUGCGAGCGUUGUUCGGAAUUAUUGGGCGUAAAGCGCGUGUAGGCGGCUUAUUAAGUCUGAUGUGAAAGCCCUGGGCUCAACCUGGGAAGUGCAUUGGAUACUGGUAGACUUGAGUACGGGAGAGGGCAGUGGAAUUCCCAGUGUAGGAGUGAAAUCCGUAGAUAUUGGGAGGAACACCGGUGGCGAAGGCGGCUGCCUGGACCGAUACUGACGCUGAGACGCGAAAGCGUGGGGAGCAAACAGG
rnacentral:rRNA from 1 species